GGUUCAGGUUCUGAACGGAUUAAUAGGGAACGCUGUGAGAAUCAGCGGCUAUACCCGUAGCUGUGAGUUCCAUUUUGCGCUUUUUCCAAUAAGUCACUGACAAAUUCUUGUCGGGAAGGCGGAAAAAAGCGGGAACGAGCCAGAAGACCUGCCUGCAACCU
rnacentral:ncRNA from 1 species